rnacentral:rRNA from 1 species
UUGGAGGGCAAGUCUGGUGCCAGCAGCCGCGGUAAUUCCAGCUCCAAUAGCGUAUAUUAAAGUUGUUGCAGUUAAAAAGCUCGUAGUUGAAUUUCGGGGUUAGUAGGUUGGUCGUGCCUAUGGUAUGCACUGGCUUUACUGAUUCCUCCUUCUUGAAGAACUGUAAUGUCAUUAAUUUGGUGUUGCAGGGAAACAGGACUUGUUACUUUGAAAAAAUUAGAGUGUUUAAAGCAGGCUAACGCUUGAAUACAUUAGCAUGGAAUAAUGAAAUAGGACGUUUGAUCCUAUUUUGUUGGUUUCUAGGAUUGACGUAAUGAUUAAUAGGGAUAGUUGGGGGCAUUAGUAUUCAAUUGUCAGAGGUGAAAUUCUUGGAUUUAUUGAAGACUAACUACUGCGAAAGCAUUUGCCAAGGAUGUUUUCAUUAAUCAAGAACGAAAGUUAGGGGAUCGAAGACGAUCAGAUACCGUCGUAGUCUUAACCAUAAACUAUGCCGACUAGGGAUCGGAUGAUGUUAAUUUUUUAAUGACUCAUUCGGCGCCUUACGGGAAAC